UUAGGUGAACAUGCUGGUAGAUUCAACGCUCCAACUGUUGAUGAGGUUGCUGUUAUCAUGGUUCGUGUUCCAGUUGACAAAAUAUCUAUGAUCCAAAUACCGGUGAUUACAGAAAUAAGAAAGUUAGCUCAAUGAACUACUACGCACACCGAAUAAUGGUUAGACUACGUCAAGACAAUUAUAUCCUUCGAUAUCGUCAGCUGUUCCAUCAAUACAUUGUUGAUAUGUAUGCUAAGGUCGAAAGCGAACGCUUGCGAUUCCUUCGAUUCAACCA